CUCUUCCUGGAGAUCCCUGCAUACCCUAAGCCUUCCAUAGGUCUCCCAUGUGAGCAUUGCAGAUGGAGGGCUGUGAGGCUGAGGCAUCUACACUGCUUUACAACCAGCAUUACAGCACAAGAGUGGUCUUACAGCAGUGAUACAUCCCGAAUCUGAGCUGUGUGAUGAAGCGAGGCCGCACGGCAGUCAUCACCCAUUCCUACAGCAGGCUUCCAAAUACAAACUGAAAAUAUAGCAUCAGGACAGUGGUUUCACCCAAGUCAGGUUCACAGGUCUAUCCACCAUCUGGAGCAAUUACAAGGUGGCUGGAAAGCCAUGGAAAUACUGUUCCCAAAGAAAGGACGUCCACUAGUGGAGGCACGGGUCCAUCCCAGAACCCUCACUCAUACCUCCAGGACAGUGAUGUGCUUCUCCACUAAGAUGCAGAAUGGAAGGGUCUGAGGACCUGAUGUUAACAUUUUUAGACAGGUAUCUCUUGGGGUCCAUCAUGUUUCUGGCAGUGUAACAGGAGAAACACCUUUGAGCUCCAACCUCUCUUUGGGAUUGUAACAGCAGCUGCAGGUUAUACAGAAGUCACUUAAAUGCUUAAAAUAAAUGUAUUAAUUGAGACCCAGAAACAGUUUUUACCAAAGACUUUAGCUU